UAACUGAGCGUUCAGUUACUUGACGUAGACCCGAAACCGGGCGACCUACCCAUGAGCAGGAUGAAGCGAAAGUAAAAUUUCGUGGAGGUCCGAACCCACGAGCGUUGAAAAGCUCGGGGAUGACUUGUGGGUAGCGGUGAAAUUCCAAUCGAGCCCGGAGAUAGCUGGUUCUCCCCGAAAUAGCUUUAGGGCUAGCCUCAAGGUGAGAGAUACGGAGGUAGAGCACUGAAUGUCCUAGGGGGUAUUGCACCUACCGAAGACUAUCAAACUCCGAAUGCCGUCAUCUUAUACUUGGGAGUCAGACUGUGGGUGAUAAGAUUCAUAGUCGAAAGGGCAACAGCCCAGAUCGUCAGCUAAGGUCCCUAAAUGUAAGUUAAGUGGUAAAGGAUGUGGGAUUGCACAGACAACCAGGAUGUUGGCUUAGAAGCAGCCACUCAUUCAAAGAGUGCGUAAUAGCUCACUGGUCGAGUGAUCCUGCGCCGAAGAUUUCCGGGGCUAAAACUUACUACCGAAGCUACGGCAUCAGUAAGGAUGGGUAGGGGAGCUUCCCAUACGGGUUGAAGCAUGACCGUAAGGACAUGGGGACAGUAUGGGAGUGAGAAUGUUGGCAUGAGUAGCGAGAUGUGGGUGAGAAUCCCACAGGCCGUAAACCCAAGGUUUCCAGGGGAAGGUUCGUCCGCCCUGGGUUAGUCGGGACCUAAGCUGAGGCCGAAAGGCGUAGGUGAUGGACAACAGGUUGAUAUUCCUGUACUACCGAU
rnacentral:rRNA from 1 species